GCCUGACAUCACUUGACAGUAAUACAGCGGUCUCUCUAGGUGCCAAAGCUGUAUUAGCAGUGCAUGUCCUCCUGCUCCCAGACACCUAGGCACGAGCCAUGAGGCUAGACUGCCGGGCCCCUCCUGCCUGGCCACUCCAUGUAAGGGCAGGACCACAUGUACUGGUCCUGCAGGAUGGGGUGCUGGUGGCACCCUCCCAGGCAGUGCCAGGCAAGAAGACUGGCACGCAGCCCUGACUGCUGGGAAAAUCUUUGGAAGCUGCUCAUGGGCAUCUGGCUUGCUGUUCUCUAGAGGAAGGUCACGGUCUUCUGAGGCUCUGUGGGUGUGAGUCAGACGCCGCCCCCCUGCAUCUUGUCCCCCAGUGUGCAGUGCUCUGUCCCAAUGUGGUAAAACAGGAAGAGUCAGAGCUGAGCUUUAAGCAGAAAUGACAAAGAUCACAUCCAAAAGAAAACCCGUCAAUCCAACAAAACAUUUAAGGCCUAGAGGUAGUGACAGCUCCCUGCUGUUGCUAGACGCUGGUGCUUCAUCAUCUGUUAUUGACAAAGACUUUUCAAAUUAUCUGAACUUGAUGACCCACAUUGUGUGUACUGUCCUAUGUGGAUCAUGACUGAUAGAAUUACUCACAGGAAUCUGCUUGUGAAAUUUGUGCCUCCUGUCCUGGAAACUAGAGGCUCUAUAAUCAGAAGUUCUGGUUCUCAGAGGGUGGAAGGCUCCACUGGAGGACAUGACUUGGCAUGGAGAUUAUGAUGGUGAGCUGAAAGAAAGACACCGCCCUGCCCACAUAGAGAUGUGGGGGAAGCAGAUGCUAAUGAAUAAACUAAUGAACAAAAAUUACAACAUGAAAUUCUGCUUGCACUAAUAUAGAUGGCAUCAUGCCUCCCAGGCAAAUUCAUCAGGAUGAGAGAAGAUGUGUUCUUCAUCUCUGGACCAAACAUCUCCUACAAGGAAAGCUCUGUGGAGAAGGCAAGCAGAUGAAAUCUGUAGCAUAUCUGGUCCCAUGGCAGUGACCUGUGGGUAAGCAACUGUCUAACCUCUACCUUGGGGAAGUGGAAGAUCUCUCAAACCCUGAAGAGAUGUUCAGAAGGUAAGUGGUGAUCUACACCAAGGAUAUCCAGUGCACCUGCUUUUUGGCUGGCCCAUCAUUCUUCUUCUACAUGAAAAUCCUAAACUCCAACUACAAGAACAAGAACAAAAGGCUUCCAUCUAACAUCAUGUAAUUAUUCCUUGCACAACAGAGAGGACAAGGAGGACCCUCUUUGAUUUCUACCAGCGGAAGGCUCUCCUUCUGCAGUCACAGUCCCAUCUUCAAGUUCUAUGACCCAGGCACUACCCUGUACCUGCUCAUGUACUCUAUAAAAUGGGAGGGAAGCAAGAAAAGAAGAAAAAGGAAGAAUUGUCAGUGUGUGUAUAGGAAUAAAAAUGAUGGGACUGGGACUGUGGCUCAGCAGUAGAGCACUUGCCUAGCAUGUGCAAAGCACUGGCUUUGAUCCUCAGCACCACAUAAAAAUAAAUAAAAUAAGGAUAUUGUGUCCAUCUAAAAAAUAAAUAUUUUUUAAAUGAGUGUCUGUGCUGACAUUUCCACAAGUGGCCUUAUGGACGUGGAUGGCUUUUAUGACAUUUUCCUCCACGACUAUGCCAUGCUCUUUUUGUCUUCCUAACCAGCAUGAGCUGAGGCAGUGACUUACAAGCUUCAUUCAUGUACCUCUUUGUGGUCUUUCUGGUGUGUGGUUGCUAUAGGCUCCCAUUGAGUUCCAUGACCAGAUGUGGCAAUUCACGAAAUUCUCCUUGAAUAAAUUAGGAGAACCAUCUCUAUUUUUCUUGGAUAAUCAGAAACAAUUGCCUCAGUCAACACUGAAAACCCCUUUAUUGCCUGAUUUAACAGUGAUGGAAAAAUCCAAAAUAUUCUCUUCUUAGCAAGAAGGAGUCUUAUUACCAGUUCAAGGGAACUGUUCAUAGUGCCACAUUCUUCUCCUGGGAACUAAGACUUUAAGUUGGCAGUGCCCAGAAGUGCAGAGAUCAAAAAAGCAAGACUAUUGCAGUGGCAUCACUAAAUGCAACGUUGAGAAGUAUCUCUCCUACUUCUACCCUUUGGUUCUGAAUCCCAUGCACUUCGGUUACAGAAGGAAAACUAGUACCAUAAACGUAUCAUGGUUCAGAGAAUGCACUGCACCCUACACAGACCACUCCAGACUUACAAGGCAUUGCUGCCCAGCUGACACCACUGCUGGGACUUCAGUAGAUGUUUUCACCAUCCUGUAAGUCUCGUUGCUUCUUAAUGAUGGACUAGGUGAUAGGGCCAAUGGGAAUUUAGGCUUCUCUGAACCUCUGAAAGCUUUUUAUGUUUCUCUUUCUUCUCUAUUAGCCAUGCCCUAACUCUGACAGACAGGAUAAGGCUAUGAUUUCAGUUGACCCUGUAAUUUGGCAACUCAUCAGGAUCAACUCAGGUUUUAGCUCUGUAUGUGAAAGUGAUAGAUUAACGCCAGACUAACUUUUUCUCUUAUUCUCAUAGCCUGAGAAUUUAAGCUAUCCAAUGCAGUUAGAAGAAACCUUGAAAAAUCAGUGUCACUCAUAUCAUUUGAAUUCCUCUGAAUACUAUAUCCCCCAGGUCUCACAUUCAUAGGAUCCCAAUACUAGGUAACCACAGGAAAAUAUUUAAAAUACUGUACUAAUGUUUGGUUUUGAAUGCUAGCUGGAUUUUUCACUGCAUUUUUUGAGAUAUUGAGAGAGAGAGAGGAGAGAGAGAUAG